AGUUAACGUUGGCGGCGUGCCUAACACAUGCAAGUCGAACGCGUCCUAAGGGCAACUUUAGGAUGAGUGGCGAACGGGUGAGUAUCACGUGGGUAAUCUUCCUUCAAGUGGGGAAUAAGCUCUCGAAAGGGAGUCUAAUACCGCAUGACAUUCCGGGACACAAGUCCCGUAAUCAAAGUCGCAAGGCGCUUGAAGAUGAGCCUGCGUCCUAUUAGCUAGUUGGUGGGGUAACGGCCUACCAAGGCUUAGAUGGGUAGCCGGCCUGAGAGGGUGAACGGCCACACUGGGACUGAGACACGGCCCAGACUCCUACGGGAGGCAGCAGUGAGGAAUUUUGCGCAAUGGGGGAAACCCUGACGCAGCGACGCCGCGUGGAGGAUGAAGGCCUUCGGGUCGUAACUACCUGUCAGAGGUGAAGAAUACCCGCAAGGGUUUGACGGUAACCUCAGAGGAAGCCCGGCGUAACUACGUGCCAGCAGCCGCGGUAAAGUACACGUCG
rnacentral:rRNA from 1 species